CUGCACGGUGCUUACCCCGGGCUUGUCGGAUGUACUUGAAGAAGGAAGCCCCAAUGUCUGUGCUAGAUCCACUAUGCCAUUCAGUGUUGCAGGCCCUGAUGAAUUUUGUGAUUGGUCUGUGUCAAAGCAAUGGAUACAAAU
rnacentral:snoRNA from 1 species